rnacentral:lncRNA from 1 species
CUAGAUUAUCACUAUAUACUGCUAGAUGUCACUGAUGGAUCGUGAGAUUUAUCGAGCGUCAUCUUGAUGAUCGAUGAUCCUUGAUGGGCAGAGUUGGAAUCAGUCUAAUCUAUCGAAAGGAGUUUCAAUAAUAUCAUGAUGGAGAUCAUAGUAUAUCUCACUAUCAGACAGAAUAGAACCUAUGGGAUCACAUACAAAAGAGAUCUUUGUUCGAUCAGAUGGUUGAUUAGCGAUUGUGAAUCACUAUUAGAUCUAAUCAUAUGA